rnacentral:rRNA from 1 species
UACGAAGGGGGCUAGCGUUGUUCGGAAUCACUGGGCGUAAAGCGCACGUAGGCGGAUCUUUAAGUCAGGGGUGAAAUCCCGAGGCUCAACCUCGAAACUGCCUUUGAUACUGGGGGAUCUCGAGUCCGGGAGAGGUGAGUGGAACUGCGAGUGUAGAGGUGAAAUUCGUAGAUAUUCGCAAGAACACCGUGGCGAAGGCGGU